ACUCCUACGGGAGGCAGCAGUGAGGAAUAUUGGACAAUGGGCGAGGGCCUGAUCCAGCCAUGCCGCGUGCAGGAAGAAUGCCCUAUGGGUAGUAAACUGCUUUUAUACGGGAAGAAAAGGGCACGUGUGCCCUGUUGACGGUACCGUAAGAAUAAGGACCGGCUAACUCCGUGCCAGCAGCCGCGGUAAUACGGAGGGUCCGAGCGUUAUCCGGAAUUAUUGGGUUUAAAGCGAGUGUAGGCGGCGACGUAAGUCGGAUGUGAAAGCCCCGGGCUCAACCUGGGAAUGGCAUUGCGAUACUGCGUGGCUCGAGUCUGAUAGAGGGAUGUGGAAUUCCGGGUGUAGCGGUGAAAUGCGUAGAUAUCCGGAGGAACACCAGUGGCGAAGGCGGCAUCCUGGAUCAAGACUGACGCUGAGGCUCGAAAGCGUGGGGAGCAAACAGGAUUAGAUACCCUGGUAGGCUCUGCU
rnacentral:rRNA from 1 species